AACGCAUAUGGCACCCGAGACCUCGGUCGAGGGUAUGUCUGCGUCAGAGUCGGCGUAAAAACAUCCCCAAGGACACACCACCUCUCUUAAAUGCGGGGCGUGUCGGCGGGGGAGCUGGACUUCCCACCUUUCUCGGGUGGGUCGUCCGAAGGACAGAGACGGAGGAGCGGGCCGCUGGCCCGUCAGUGCCACGAUUUGGUGGGAGGACGGGGACUUGAUCCCCUAUCCGCAUCAUCGUCGUGCGCUGGUGGAGACGCCUAUGGCUCGUCUCGCUCCGCCAUGCAGGAAAUAAAUAAUCCAGUCCGACCUGACAUCAGGCAAGAUCACCCGCUGAACUUAA
rnacentral:misc_RNA from 2 species